AAGCUGCCAGAGCACGACAUUCCUGAAAUCCUCCAUGACAGGCUCAUUGUUCACCCUCCAUCCCGAAAGGAUGAAAAUGCCAAGCCUAUGGUCUUUCUUGCCUCAGCCACAAUAUCAGCAGUCUCUUGGGCUGGCGUUGCAGAUUUAGCCAGGGAAUAGCUAAGUGCCUGCGUGGAAGACGUAAACAAGGCAGGGACCACCUUCAAAUUGGAUGAUGGCCUCCUACUGCAUGACAUCUCUGCUACAUGCUGCUUCCUGUAUGCUCGUGAGGAAGCCUCCCUCCGCUACCUCUGUCAACUGAGCCCCCUCCUGUAUGCUUGUGAGGAAGCCUACUGCCACCUCUGUCACCUGACAAACCAUCUCCUGCAGGCCACCUGAACUAAAGUCGGCAUCUUCUGCAUCGAGCUGGGUCUACGCUCUCCUUCACUCUCUUGUUCUCUCUGUCUUUCUCAUCUAAAACUCCUACAUCUGCUUCCCUGUCCUCUCCUUCAAAAAUAGAAAAUUCAAGACUUUAAAGCUGUUGUAUUGAUUUAAAACAAUGACGCAUCUAUAAUUGCGACAAACUUUGUAGUUGGCUUACUUCUCUUUCUACUAUGCUGUACAUCUGUUGCAGAUUGAGGGGGUGGAUUCAUGCAAUUUAUUCUGGUAGGUACUGCCUCGGAGGACUGAACCCUGUUGAAAGAUACAUUUUUACCAGAAAACUAUUUUUAUUGACAAAGAUUAGCUGUACCUUUUAAUCAGAAUAAAACACUCUUCAAAGUGCUCCUCGCACAAAUUAUAACCCCCUUUCUUCAGGUCCUCGAAGGACUUCUGCAGACAUGUCCCUACACCUGACGUUUCUCAGCCAUAUCUUCCUCCUGAGUAAUUGCAAUCUCAGGUUUAAUCUCAGAUUUUAUUGAAUUCACACAAAAAAAUGUAAUUUCAGGCUUUGUUUUCCAUUUUAUGGAAAUAUGACUGACUCUCUUCUCUCUCGAGCCCUGCGAGAGCAGCUUCUACCCUUUCCAGGACCGGAAGAGAUUGUUGUGUGUAUAAAGUUUAUGAUUUGUGUUCUCAAUCCUUGUUCUCUUAUACCUCUACACACUACACUGAAGUUUUAAAUAGUCCUUUAGAUGUUCCUGAGUCUGAGGACACCUCCUGUCACCUGAACCCCCUGCAGACCACCUGAACUGCAUUAGGCAUCAUUUGCUGGAGUUGGGUCUAUGCUCAUGGUCUCCUGUUCUCUUCCUCACCUCUUCUGGAUGUUGGCCUAUGCUUAAG
rnacentral:lncRNA from 1 species